CGUGCCUGAUCAGCACAUUGGGUGUGACUGAAUAAACUUACUGGCAUAUAGCUGGUUAAGGUGAUACAACACAGGUGGUGCUGCUCCGAAAGGAGAAUCGACUUACCAGUCGGGUUGUAGGCAGAGAUGAUUUCUAAACUGUAGAAAUGCCCAUCUCUUGUUGGUAUACAGGAUUCCAACCACCCUCCCU
rnacentral:ncRNA from 1 species